ensembl:snoRNA SNORD24 Small nucleolar RNA SNORD24
UGCAAGUGAUGUAAACGAAUAUUUGCUAUCUUAGCAACACUGAAGACAACUUUCCACCAAGAUCGCUGAUGCA